CCUACGGGAGGCAGCAGUGAGGAAUAUUGGUCAAUGGGCGCGAGCCUGAACCAGCCAAGUAGCGUGAAGGAUGACUGCCCUACGGGUUGUAAACUUCUUUUAUAAAGAAUUAAGUUAGGGCCGGUUGCCUUUUUUUUGUUACCUUUUUAAUUAGGAUCGGCUAACCCCCUUCCAGCAGCCGCGGUAAUACGGGGGAUCCCAGCGUUAUCCGGGUUUAUUGGGUUUAAAGGGAGCGUAGAUGGGUUGUUAAGUCAGUUGUGAAAGUUUGCGGCUCAACCGUAAAAUUGCAAUUGAUACUGGCAGUCUUGAGUACAGUUGAGGUAGGCGGAAUUCGUGGUGUAGCGGUGAAAUGCUUAGAUAUCACGAAGAACUCCGAUUGCGAAGGCAGCUUACUAAACUGCCACUGACAUUGAUGCUCGAAAGUGUGGGUAUCAAACAGGAUUAGAUACCCCAGUAGUC
rnacentral:rRNA from 1 species